rnacentral:tRNA from 2 species
GGAGGCUUAGCUCAGCCGGGAGAGCAUCUGCCUUACAAGCAGAGGGUCGGGGGGUUCGAUCCCCUCAGCCUCCACCA